ensembl:misc_RNA 7SK 7SK RNA
GGAUGUGAGGGUGAUUUGACUGCGACAUUUGUCAUCCCAUUGAUCGCCAGGGUUGAUUGGGCUGAUCUGGCUGGCUAGGUGGGUGUCCCCCUCUUCCCUCACCAAUCCAUGUUCAUCCCUCCCGAAGCUGCUCGCUCGGUCGUAGGGAACGACCUUCCACCCAGAAGAGAGGACAGGUCUUCGUUCAAGUGUAUAUGAGUAGCUGCGCUCCGCUGCUAGAACCUCCAAACAAGCUCUCAAGAAGUAUGUGCUUUGAUAUUAAUACUAGAGCCCCAGUGCACGAAAUUUGUGUGUGUGUUGGG